UGGGUUUCCUCAGGAGAGUGGCUGGCGUCUCCUUUAGGGAUAGGGUGAGAAGCUCAGCCAUUCGCGAGGAGCUCGGAGUAGAGCCGCUGCUCCUUUGCGUCGAAAGGAGCCAGUUGAGGUGGUUUGGGCAUCUGGUGAGGAUGCCCCCUGGGCGCCUCCCUAGGGAGGUGUUUCAGCCACGGCCAGCUGGGAAGAGGCCCCGGGGAAGACCCAGUACUAGGUGGAGAGAUUAUAUCUCUGCACUGGCCUUGGGACACCUUGGGAUCCCCCCAGUCAGAGCUGGUAGAUGUGGCCAGGAAAGGAAGUUUGGGGUCCCCUGCUGGAGCUGUUGCCCCCGCGACCCGACCCCGGAUAAGCGGUUGAAGAUGGAUGGAUGGAUGGUAUACGAGGAUACAGUCGUCCUCUUACUUUAAAUCUCAUCUAAAGGCUUUCAGCAAGACACACAUUCAACAUGGUCCAACGUCAGGAGUUUCUGUUGUUAAUUCUGUAAUUGGUGGACAGCCGUCGGCCUGCAGAUCGACCGGCCUCUCUCCUCUCUGGCCUGCUCCUUGUGCACAGCGCUGCUGCAGUGCUACUCUGGAGCCGAGCAGCUUCAGAGUGAAGGUCGCUAGGACUCCGCCAGUGAUCCCUCUGCGGUGUGUGGCUGUGCGUGAGAGAAUGUAUGCGUGUUCAAUAUUUGUAUACUUGACAAUGCAUGCGUUGCGUGCGCGCGCGUGUGUGUGUGUGCGUGUGUGUGUGUGUGUGUGUGUGUGUGCAUGACAGAGGCAGAUGGCUGCUGCAGCAGCAAGGAACUCACCUUGACUGUCAGAGUCCCAAAGACUUUUGUUUUAACCCUCCACAGACUCCCACCUGCCUUCCAGGAGACUGUAUUUUAUACCGAGAACCCCUUUCUCCUGAUGUUGCAUGCACAAUAUUAUUUUUGCAGCUCUCUUACUGCACUUCCUCUUUUCUGCAAGAUAUGUAGGACCAUCAGAGGGUUAUUGUCGGGAUCGAUUUGCUACGGUCCUUUUGUUUGGGGAAUUGUGAAUGUCACACUAACACACUGUGACAGCACUGCAGAGGUAGAGUGACUGCAAUGGGUCACUUUGUCCCCGGGACCACUGGAGGGCGCAAGAGGACAGCGGUCAAGCUGUCAGGCGCUUCUUUUUCUGAGAGACAGCGAGCUCUUCUUAGUGGCCACGGCAAGUCUGUGGCAGUCGGCAGUCAGGACUGUGGCAGCUCAGCGGCAGCCUAGUGGCAGCCCGGUGACAGCCUAGUGACAGCCUAGUGGCAGCCUAGUGGUAGUCUUCAGUCAGGCGUCUGUCAGGCGUCACAACAGCAACAUUCGUUCGGCAGCAGUCAAGAAGCUGCCAAGCUGAGAAGGCGGAGGCUUAUUUUUGCUGUUGUUACGACAGGUCAGCUGCUGUGAAUAAGUUUUGGGAUUUUAGUUGAGUACCCAGAGCCAUCUACGAUUGGACAAAAUAAUGCAAAUAAAAUAGAUAGAUAGAUAGAUACUUUAUUGAUCCCUCCAGAGGGAAAUUUUGGUAUCACAGCUGCAUGUACAGGGAAGAAAAUAGAAUAAAAAGAUACACAUUAUAUACAAUAUAAUAAGAUAGAAAUCUUAAAUUAUUAAAUUAAAUAAUCUAAAACCGAAACAAAAAGAAUAACAAAAAGAAUAAAAAAAGAAAGAAAGAAAGAAAUCAUUUGUUUUAUCAUCUUUAAACGCAUAUUUGUAAAAACAUGAAAUCCAUAAAAUAAAAUGUCUGAAAAUAUCUUCGCUCUUCCUCUGCUUAUCUGUAGGUGUCAGUAUGUGCCGCAAGCUGCCAGUGGCAUUAGUAGUCAGAGGAGUGCCAGUCGAGUAUCAGUCAGGUGUCACAACAACAAAACAUUAACAUUAUCCAAAUAUUAAUAAUGUUUAUAGAAAAAUAAAACAGAUAAAGAGUUUUUUAGUUUACUGUUUUGUUUUUCACUUUUCACACCACAGAGAAUGCUGACGUCACGUACUGCUUACGUUAUGCACUGUUACUGUUACAAAAGCAUUUUGUAAAUGCACUUUACCAUCUUCAAAUGGAUCCCCAUUAUUUUCCUAUUCCUCGUUAUCAUAUGAAUCUAAUCCAUGAUUAUGCCACAGUCCUGACGAUGGCCGCAGACAAGCCUCGCUGUUUUUUUCAUUAGACCUGAUCUAAUUUAAAUUAUUUCUAAAGGUUCAUGCACAAAUAUAGGUGGUCUUGAAGCAUAAACAGAUUUUUUUUCUUCUGCCCCCUAGCUUAAAUAAAAGUAUUUUAUUUAAGUAAAAGUAUUUUUAAGUAAAAGUAUUUUAUUUAAGAGCCAAAAUUAAGCCGUACUUGUUCCGGUAAAACUUUGCUCAGCACCAAUCUUAUCGCAUUUCUAUUGGCGGCCCGCCCAGCCGACCCUGGAGCUGUGCAGUCCAGGAGCGAGGCGACCAGACAAAUAUUUUCCCAAGUCCCUGCCUUGAUAAAAGUUGGAAUUUCACUCCCUUCCUCCUCCUCCUUUUUCUUUUCCCUCACAUCACCCUUUUUAGAUUAGCUCUGUUAGACAAAGGCUCAUUGUGCCGGGCGGCCCACUGGACAGGGAGGAGGUUGAACUAUCUAACGGGGGAUGUGGUUAAAGCAAGAGGCUGACACUCGACGAGACAAUGACAAUGGGGGCCGGGGCCUAAACUUGAUCGACUCCUGCAGCUCCCCCCGAUGAAGCGCACGCUGUAAACAGACUCCACAAUGGACACAGGUGUUGACAAAAGGACACCUAUCCUCUCGGCCGGGCAGAUAUGCUGGUAGAGGAAACGGUUCAAAAAGGAAUACGGCGAGCGGGCGCGUCGAGUUCAAACCCGACACCUUUGUUGUGCUGAAGACACCGAAAACCAGAUGGAAUAUAAUGUGGCAUAUGAGUGUGUGUAAUUGGAGAUGCGGUGAGAAAAAGAUGGGAAUGAAUGGAGAGAAUAGAAAAUGGAAAGCAGGUGGAAUUUUCAUGCCAUGAUUCGAAUCCAAGGUCAGCAGGGGACAUUGGGUUUACACAGUGGAACAGGGAGGGAGAAAGAAAGAGCGCGAGGGAGAGAGAGGGGGAGGAGUGGAAAGACGGAAGAGAAACAACAGAAAACACACUCUGGAGGGAGAAACAACAGAGAAGGGUCGGCAUUGCAGGGCAAACACCUCUUUUACCCUUUUUUUUUGGAUGGGGAUGGGAUGGAGGGGGGCUGGUGUGAGGAUCGAAUGACAGCAAACAAGGAGGGAGAGUGAGAAAGAGGGAGGACAAGGAAAAGCCUCAGUCUGACGCGACCAAACCCAAGAGGAGGAAUGUGAAGGUCUCUGGGCCUCCAGGGGGAGAACACAGGUGUUCCUCCGCGGCGGUGAUGCGUUCGGUUUGCGAGGCCGGAGGCCGGGGGAGGGUCGGUCGGCCGUCCGGCGGUCGGCCGUCCGGCGGUCGGGGCCCGGACGCGAAGGCCCCCUCCGUCUUCUGCUGUCACGGCUCGACCGCGGCCGGUGGCGAGGACCGUUACCUGCCGGCCCGGCGACCCUGCCCCAGGUAGGUAGCACACCUCCAGGGACCCGUCUCACCGGUCUGCGAGUGCAUCACAUGCUUUGAAUAGAGGGACAGGAGACAGGCAAAGUGCGCCUCCGUUAUGAAACAGUGUUGACGGAUGGUCUCCCAGAGGUGUCUGUGAGACACAUUCAGUCAAAAACCCGAGAGCAGCAGGCAAUUCUAUCUAUUUCUGCAACUACCACAUGGAUUGUCAUGCAUUUUUCACCCACAUUCAUGGUCCCCAGAGGAGCCUGCAGUGGCCUUUGUGAUGAUAGCGUUUCUGUAUCUGUAGUUCAUUCUCAGAAACCUUUAGACAUUGUUCUCGUUCUCCCGUGUACUUUUUUUAAGCCAAAGCGGACCGUUGCACCCUCCUAGCUUUCGCACCCGAUCAGCUUUUGUUAUUAAUUACUCUCGGGUGUGAUUUGUUUCGACUCAUUUACAAUGCAAGGUUGUGUGAGCGUGGGAAGCUUAAGCCCCGGAACUGAGGGUUUUUCUUGGCUUGUUCCUCAAGCUGAGAAAUCCAAAUGAGAGCUCCGCUUGUUCAGGAAGCGUGUCUUGCUUUUCUGGAAAAAAACUGUCUUAGUUUUUUUAUCAUCAGUUCAGAAUAAUCACACGGCUCUCGACAGCAUCAAUGAAGGUCAGCAUCAUGCCAAAGUCUGAGCAUCGCCAACUCAGAGUAGUCUCUGUAAUCUACAAGCCAGAAAAGUAGCUCUCUUUCAUCUCACUGUGACAUAACGUGCUUAAAAUAUUAUCACAGGGCCAAUUCAGAUGUAAUAAGUCUUGCAUUUCUGAACUGGUUUAAGCUUUGAAGGGGCCUAAUUAGGGAGAGAUAACAGGAAAGCUGGCGAAAGAGGAGAUUUGUGACGUGUAUAAUCAUGUGAAAUAUUGUUGGACAGUUACAGUAAAUAAUUUGCGUGCAUUCUGUGAUACUGUGAACUUAAUUAAUGUAAACAGAGAUUUACUACUGCAUAUAUUCUUCUCUCCUUGUCAUUCUCAAUACUUUUCUAUAACCAUACAUAUAUAUAUGUAUGUCAGAUAUUUAUAUUUCCUGUUAAGGUACUUUCCCUUGAUUAGCUUCACUCUUUUCAUCUCCCGCUUGUGUAUUCUUAUUCUAG
ensembl:lncRNA